rnacentral:misc_RNA from 1 species
AUGCACCCCACUUGACUAUGCAGGUAUACUUUCUAGGGCUUGUUAUAUCUGAAUGCAUUGACAUUAUACAAUUUCUAUUUUUAUGUUUUUCUUUACUUAGGGAAAAAUGAAUUUGAAAGUGUAUAGUUUUGUGUGUUUGUGUUUUUAUAUGCAUGCAUGUGCACAAGAGUAUGGCAGACAAUAUUAUUAACAUCUUGGAGCAAUCUGAUGCUGAUGUAUAUUUCUUAAGUCUUAAACUCUAUCAACCUCUAAUUUCACUGCUAGUAUCUUUAAUUUGUACUUUCUAUAGAAAAAGGUAAAAUAAAACUUCAAGUUCAUCCCUUUACAUAGACCUGGCCACCGGUCUGGUAUGGGUCAGAACCAGCGGUUCAAGGUUGGGGAGGGGAAUGAAUCAGAACUGGACCAAGUGAAGGCAAUUACAGUUCAAGGUGAUUUGGCUCUGCGCCUGGUCCAGUUCUUGAAUGCUUCCAGUUCCAGUUUAAAACAGUUGUCGUUUCAAGUUGUAGGCGGCUCGGUCUGGUUUUG